rnacentral:rRNA from 1 species
GACGAACGCUGGCGGCGUGCUUAACACAUGCAAGUCGAGCGAGAAACCUUCGGGUUUCUAGCGGCGCACGGGUGAGUAACACGUGGGUAACCUGCCUCAAAGAGGGGGAUAGCCUUCCGAAAGGAAGAUUAAUACCGCAUAAUAUUACAGUUUCGCAUGAAGCAGUAAUUAAAGGAGUAAUCCGCUUUGAGAUGGACCCGCGGCGCAUUAGCUAGUUGGAGAGGUAACGGCUCACCAAGGCAACGAUGCGGAGCCGACCUGAGAGGGUGAUCGGCCACCUUGGAACUGAGACACGGUCCAGACUCCUGCGGGAGGCAGCAGUGGAGAAUAUUGCACAAUGGGCGAAAGCCUGAUGCCGCAACGCCGCGUGAGUGAUGAAGGUCUUCGGAUUGUAAAGCUCUGUCUUUUGGGACGAUAAUUACGGUACCAAAGGAGGAAGCCACGGCUAACUCCGUGCCAGCCGCCGCGGUAA